rnacentral:rRNA from 1 species
UACGGAGGGUGCGAGCGUUGUCCGGAAUCACUGGGCGUAAAGGGCGCGUAGGCGGCCUGAUAAGUAGGGGGUGAAAUCUUGCGGCUUAACCGCAAGGCUGCCUUCUAAACUGUCAGGCUAGAGCACAGUAGAGGCAGGUGGAAUUCCCGGUGUAGUGGUGAAAUGCGUAGAUAUCGGGAGGAACACCAGUGGCGAAGGCGACUACCUGGCCUGUUCUUGACGCUGAGGCGCGAAAGCUAGGGGAGCAAACGGG